CGUUAAAUGGCUGAUUAAAGCUGUAACCUCUUAAGUUACCUAUAGAAAAAUUUUCUUUUAACGA